ensembl:lncRNA
GACUCUGAGCAAUGCGUGACUGUGGAGCUGUGGUUCAGCGUGCUGCUCUAUCCCUGAGGCCUGCGUAACCAAACUGCCUUCUCUACAGCACAGCUGAGAAACAAAGCCAGUAGUGCCCCACCACAGCAGCACAGAUCUGUGCUGUGUCCUGCUCCCAACAUCCAGCCUGCCUGACAUCAACAUUUAACAUGCUGCCCGUGCAUCGCCACGCAUCCCGCUUAGCUGUCAGCUCGCCGCCGCCGGCUUAAAGGAGCGGAGCAGCACCGCGGAGACCCAGCAGCCCCCGACCCCCCGCUGUGCCCCGCCAUACCUCUACCCUUCUCUACCUGCGGCUUGCGCUCCUGCGGGGCAAAACUUCUCUGCUCAAACACCCCUCCCCUUCCCCGGCUUCACUUCGGUCCCUUUCUCCCAUCCACUAAGCACUCAGACGCUGGCGGAGCGCCAGGGGCUCGUUUCGGGGUCCGCUAGGAGCGGCGGUGGCUGCGCCCCGUGCUCGUCCCGGUGCCCCCCGCUCCCAUCCCGACCCCGGCCCUGCCCUUCCCGCAGGGAGGGCGCUCCCUACGGCCGCCGGCUCUCCCCUCUCUCUCGGCGGUGCCUCUCUCCGCCUUCCCCACGCCGGCAGCCCCCGGCACUGCCUUCCCUCUCCUCCCCCCGCAUUCUAGGGGUAGGGGCCGUAGAUCAAGCUCCGCGGGCCGGUCUCCCCCCACACCCUCCCGGUCCGGCUGCGAGCGGCGGGGAGGGCGAUCCGCCCGCGAAGAAAUGCCCUGUUGAACUUUGAAUACAUUAGUUGACAUCAGUGCGAGUUGGGGCUGCCAGCCCCUAGCUCCCUCCUCCUUCCCUACCUCCUCCUCCUCCGCCUCCUCCUCCUCCUCCCCCCCACCACGGUCUCCGAUGGAAAGAGUUGAAGCCGCGCCGACAGGAGCCGCCGGGAAGAGGCAGCGGAGCGCAGGGCAGGACUUGGGUCCCAACUCCGACCGCGCCGCGGGGACGCUGCCCGCAGCCGCUCGCAUGGCCCGGGGCAGCGCACCCUAAGCGCCGGGCUGGGGCGAGCCGCCGCUCCGCUCCGCUCCCCGUUCUCCUCUCGCCGCAGCCGGAGCGCGAUGCGCCUGUGAGCCCCGCACCGGAGCCGCCGGGGAGCCCGUAAGCGCAGCGCGGCUGAGGGGCUGGGGGAGGGCGGUGGGGAGGGGGCGGCGCAAACUUGGAGGCUCCGCGGGGAGCCCUCUGUACGGCCCGGGGUGCGGAGGGGUCGGGGCACCCCGCGAGGUGCCGUCCUCCUGCCCCGAGGGUGGGCAAUCGGGGGGGGGCUCCGGACGCUGCUCGCACGGCCCGGGGGAGCUGGGGAGGGAACGAGCCGGGAGGCGGCGGAGGUGAUUUCUUCGUUCUUUCUCUUUCCUCCUCACCUUCCAGCUCUCCCAUGACCCGCCGAGCGGGGCUGAGGCAAGAGGGAAGCCGGAGAGCUCGGGCGCAGGGAUACUAAGGCUUGUUGUGUUCGUUUUUCUUUAUCCCCCCCCCCUCCACCUUUUUUUCUUUCUUUCCUUUUUUUUUUUUUUUUUCUUUCCCGGAUGGUAAUUUGUCUUUGUGGUAGGGGUGGCCCAUUAAAUUUCAGCUCACGUCCUGAUGGAGAUCAAAAGGGAAGGGGAGAGGGAGAGGGAAGCAGAGAGCCUUGUGCGGCUCCGUAGCUCCGUGCAUUGUUAGAAACUUACGGGGAGGGGGGGAUUCCCGAAGCAACCUUUGUGGCUGCGGCCCCGACGCCCACACCAAAAGUUGGAGAUGUGCAU